GUGCAUUUGCUCUUCUUGGUAGCUGCCAGAAAAUCGAAUCAAGCUUAUGGGACACUGGAUUACAGGUUGCUGCCACUACUCCAUGUGCCCGCAAUUGUCUUGCGUGUAUGAUUACACUAACGGCGUCGCCCACCACGGCGGAAGUGUUUUGCGUACACGCGUUUCAGCAUGAAGCCUGCAGGUGGACGUAAAUUGUAGAAGGCAGCUAGUGGGGGAGAAGAUCAUGGUCAUAGGUCAUGUGACUCCUGGAGCUCCCAGUGGGCUCCCUUGUGGAGUACUUUUCAGAACACACACACAUACAGUUUGCUCACAGAACCAACGAGUAGGAUGUUGCUUGAAUACUGAGAGAAAAUGGCGUAACACAUACAAAUAUCGUGUGACAC